CCGUAUUUGUCCUACCAACCGAACGUCACUUCGGGCAUGUUCGGUAGUCCUAAAAAUUCCUGUUUCAGGAAUUUUGUCCUGGCUAACGUACUAAAUCUGUCAACGUCGCAUACUUUUCAAUCUUGUUUUGUUUUGGAAUUUGACAAGAUUAACCUCAGAAAAAGUUUAAAAUUAUAAUUUUUAUGAACAUUGACGAAUAAUGUUAUGAAUAAUGUAAUAGAACCUGAUAUAAAAUAAUCCGGAAAUAUUUACAAAUAAAGCAUAAACAAAAUGAAAGUGAUAGCAACACGAUUACCUUUGAUAAUGUGUUUUUUAUAUAAGAAUACGUCUACAUGGGUUGAAAUCUCAGAAAAUAUUAAGCUAUCCACAAAUUCCUGAAAAUAAAUUAGCCGUGAUUUGCGGAAAAAAUGUUCUUAAUUAUUUUUCCCACAUGAUGUCCUUUCAGGUUCCAGGAAACAGCACGGGCAUGUAUUAGGCAUAAUAAGUAAUUAUAAAAAUAUGAGCAAAAAUGAGAUGGUUUAAAAGAGUGAAAAUUUUAAGGUUAAGAAAUCUGAAACUCAAAGGAAAACUGAUUAAAAACUGAUAAAUAAGUACCGUUAAACUGGAAAAGCAAACUACUAUACGCAUAAUACAAAAGACAAUUUAUCAUCUUUAAAACCAUAAGGCAUAUGAUAUAUGAGAUAGGUAGCACAAGGACAUAUCGGCAAGCCUUAGGUUGGUGUUUACGCGUGUAGGUGUGAAUCGCUAUGGUGAUCUGGUCGGAGAUAGAAAAAUAUAAAAUAUUUAUUACAUAACCACACUUAAUCUGAUGAUUUCCUAUGCAUUCAAUACCAAGUUCAAUACAUCUGAUUGUAAUAAGCAUAUUGGCCAUACUCUUCAUAUACAU